GAUGAAGAACGCAGCGAAAUGCGAUACUUGGUGUGAAUUGCAGAAUCCCGUGAACCAUCGAGUCUUUGAACGCAAGUUGCGCCUCAAGCCAUUAGGUUGAGGGCGCGUCUGCCUGGGCGUCACAUAUCGUUGCCUGAUGCCAGUUUCCUCGUGAUGGGUGACUGUGCAGGGCGAAUGAUGGCUUCCCGUGAGCAUUGUUGCCUCAUGGUUGGUUGAAAAUUGAGUCCUUGGUAGGGAGCGCCGUGAUAGAUGGUGGUUGAGUGACGAACGAGACCCAAUCAUGUGAGACCCCUACCGAAUUUGGCCUUCAUGACCCACAUGCGUCUUUGGAACGCUCAUGACGAGACCUCAGGUCAGGCGGGGCUACCCGCUGAGUUUAAGCAUAUCAAUAAGCGGAGGA
rnacentral:misc_RNA from 1 species